UCGUUAAUGCUAAUCGUGAUAGGGGUUUUCUCUGUCUGACUGACCCCUGCCCGUUAGCAUUAGCAA
rnacentral:pre_miRNA from 13 species